rnacentral:rRNA from 1 species
GGCUCAGAUUGAACGCUGGCGGCAUGCCUUACACAUGCAAGUCGAACGGCAGCACGGGUGCUUGCACCUGGUGGCGAGUGGCGAACGGGUGAGUAAUACAUCGGAACAUGUCCUGUAGUGGGGGAUAGCCCGGCGAAAGCCGGAUUAAUACCGCAUACGAUCUACGGAUGAAAGCGGGGGACCUUCGGGCCUCGCGCUAUAGGGUUGGCCGAUGGCUGAUUAGCUAGUUGGUGGGGUAAAGGCCUACCAAGGCGACGAUCAGUAGCUGGUCUGAGAGGACGACCAGCCACACUGGGACUGAGACACGGCCCAGACUCCUACGGGAGGCAGCAGUGGGGAAUUUUGGACAAUGGGCGAAAGCCUGAUCCAGCAAUGCCGCGUGUGUGAAGAAGGCCUUCGGGUUGUAAAGCACUUUUGUCCGGAAAGAAAUCCUUGGUUCUAAUAUAACCGGGGGAUGACGGUACCGGAAGAAUAAGCACCGGCUAACUACGUGCCAGCAGCCGCGGUAAUACGUAGGGUGCGAGCGUUAAUCGGAAUUACUGGGCGUA